GUACGCUAUUCAGAGUUUGAUCCUGGCUCAGAUUGAACGCUGGCGGCAUGCCUAACACAUGCAAGUCGAACGGCAGCGCGGAGAAGCUUCGGCUUCUCUGGCGGCGAGUGGCGGACGGGUGAGUAAUGCAUGGGAAUCUGCCCUUUGGUGGGGGAUAACCCGGAGAAAUCCGGGCUAAUACCGCAUACGCUCUACGGAGGAAAGCGGGGGACCCUUUAGGGCCUCGCGCCGAAGGAUGAGCCCAUGUCCGAUUAGCUAGUUGGUGGGGUAAUGGCCUACCAAGGCGACGAUCGGUAGCUGGUCUGAGAGGACGAUCAGCCACACUGGGACUGAGACACGGCCCAG
rnacentral:rRNA from 1 species